GAUCAAGUGUCUGAAGGGCAUUUGGUGGAUGCCUUGGCAUUGAGAGGCGAUGAAGGACGUGACAGGCUGCGUUAAGCCUUGGGGAGCUGCCAGUAAGCUUUGAUCCGAGGAUUUCCGAAUGGGGCAACCCACCGCUUCGGCGGUACCGCAUUGUGAAUAUAUAGCUUUGCGGGGCAAACCCAGCGAACUGAAACAUCUCAGUAGCUGGAGGAAAGGACAUCAACCGAGACUCCGUUAGUAGUGGCGAGCGAACGCGGACCAGGCCAGUGGCUUGGAGAAAACAACCAGAACGGUCUGGAAAGGCCGGCCAUAGCGGGUGAUAGCCCCGUAUGGGUAGAGUUUUUUCUAAGUCCUUGAGUAAGGCGGGACACGAGAAAUCCUGUCUGAACGUGGGGGGACCACCCUCCAAGCCUAAGUACUCCUCAAUGACCGAUAGUGAACAAGUACCGUGAGGGAAAGGUGAAAAGCACCCCGAUAAGGGGAGUGAAAUAGACCCUGAAACCGAAUGCCUACAAGCAGUGGGAGCGAGGCUCUUCAAAUCGCUUUGCGAUUUGGCGAGCCUUUUUAUCUCUCGCGCUGGUCGCGCCCGAAGUGGGCGCGAUGAGCUCCGAGGGGGGGGGCGGCUUGACCGGCCGGCGGCCUUUGGCCUUGCCUCGAUAACAAGCGUUGUUGUCGUGGAUGAGAGCUGAAUUUGGCCAUGAUACAGCAAGAGCGAUUUUGUUGUGUCGACAGCUGAAUGGAGCCGGGGUGCGGCGCAGUUGCACCAACGCGUGCGAAUUGCACGCCGCGCCUUUGGCGCACCCCCAGUGGAGGCGUUUUGCGUAGCAAAACUGCCGUGAACGAAAAGGGCGACGCAAAUUGUGAAGCAAUUUGAUGAGCCUCGUGACCGCGUACCUUUUGUAUAAUGGGUCAGCGACUUAGUGUUGCAAGCGAGCUUAAGCCGAGAGGCGUAUGCGCAGCGAAAGCGAGUCUUAAUAGGGCGUUUAGUUUGUGGCAUUAGACCCGAAACCGGGUGAUCUAGCCAUGGGCAGGUUGAAGGUGCGGUAACACGCACUGGAGGACCGAACCCACUUAUGUUGAAAAAUGAGGGGAUGACCUGUGGCUAGGGGUGAAAGGCCAAUCAAACCCGGAGAUAGCUGGUUCUCCGCGAAAACUAUUUAGGUAGUGCGUCUUGUUUUACCUUCGGGGGUAGAGCACUGGAUGGGCUAGGGGGGCGCGAGCCUUACCAAACCUAACCAAACUCCGAAUACCGAAGAGUAUAAUCAGGGCAGACAGACUGUGGGUGCUAAGGUCCAUAGUCGAAAGGGAAACAGCCCAGACCGCCAGCUAAGGUCCCUAAAUCAUGGCUAAGUGGGUAAGGAUGUGGGAAGGCCAAAACAACCAGGAGGUUGGCUUAGAAGCAGCCAUCCUUUAAAGAAAGCGUAAUAGCUCACUGGUCUAAUAGCCGUUCUGCGCCGACGAUGUACCGGGGCUCAAGCCAUGUACCGAAGCUGCGGAUUCAGAGAUCUUCUGGAUCUCUGAGUGGUAGCGGAGCGUUCCGUAAGCCUGCGAAGGCGAACCGUGAGGUUUGCUGGAGGUAUCGGAAGUGAGAAUGCUGACAUGAGUAGCGAGAUGAGGGUGAGAAACCCUCACGCCGAAAAUCCAAGGGUUCCUGCGCAAGGCUAAUCCGCGCAGGGUGAGCCGGCCCCUAAGGCGAGGGCGAAAGCCGUAGUCGAUGGGAACCAGGUUAAUAUUCCUGGGCCAGGUGGGAUGUGACGGAUGGCGUAAGUUGUCUUCUCUUAUUGGAUUGAGAGGGCAGCGGUGCCGUUCCAGGAAAUAGCCCCACCAUUAUUGACCGUACCCUAAACCGACACAGGUGGAUUGGUAGAGUAUACCCAGGCGCUUGAGAGAACGAUGUUGAAGGAACUCGGCAAAAUACCUCCGUAACUUCGGGAGAAGGAGGCCCUCGGCGUGGGCAACCAUGUUGGGGGGGCACAGACCAGGGGGUGGCGACUGUUUAUUAAAAACACAGGGCUCUGCGAAGCCGCAAGGCGAAGUAUAGGGUCUGACGCCUGCCCGGUGCUGGAAGGUUAAGAGGAGGGGUGCAAGCUCUGAAUCGAAGCCCCAGUAAACGGCGGCCGUAACUAUAACGGUCCUAAGGUAGCGAAAUUCCUUGUCGGGUAAGUUCCGACCUGCACGAAUGGCGUAACGACUUCCCC
rnacentral:rRNA from 1 species